rnacentral:rRNA from 1 species
UACGAAGGGGGCUAGCGUUGUUCGGAAUUACUGGGCGUAAAGCGCACGUAGGCGGGUUGUUAAGUCAGGGGUGAAAUCCUGGAGCUCAACUCCAGAACUGCCUUUGAUACUGGCAACCUAGAGACUGGAAGAGGUUAGUGGAAUUCCCAGUGUAGAGGUGAAAUUCGUAGAUAUUGGGAAGAACACCAGUGGCGAAGGCGGCUAACUGGUCCAGCACUGACGCUGAGGUGCGAAAGCGUGGAGAGCAAACAGG